AACAUGUUAAGAAGGAUACUCUUGAUUUAAUUUAUCGGUUUAAGGUAUUUUAUAAUGUAGAAAUAUGCUGAAAUGCAGACAGUAAUGUGCUUUGGAUAGAACACUCAGAACAGAUUAUAACCACGUGCUGCCAUGGCCAAUACCGAGUAGCCAUCAUUUCAUAUGAAUAACACCGAAACACUUGGGUUUGUAAAUCGUCUCCUCCCC
rnacentral:lncRNA from 1 species